ACGGGAACAACAAAAACAAUAAUCCAGUACGUACUUUUCAUAAUGUUGAAUCACAACAUAAAUUAAUAGUAACAUGAAAAAACCUAAACAUUUUAUUUUCUACGAGAAGAAAAAGAUAACAAAUUAACAUGCAUGCAGCUUAUUAGAACUAGGUAGCAACUAGCAAGGUCGAUUAGACCGGCUGGGCCGGCCGGCCAGCGGUGAAUUUAAGUAAUUUAAUUAUAAGCAACUAAUAAUAAUAAUAUAUUCUCUCUGGUCUCUCUACCUUCUUCUUCUUCUAACUGCUGCAAUAAAACACGACGCGGCAGCGUUGAUGACAGUGAUUGCAAUGCAAGUGAAAUCAUCAAAUAUGGCAGCAAAACGCAUCUCUUGAAGAUCCCAAAGCAUCCAAAAACAUAAGCUCAGCUCAUUAACCAUCUCUACCAAAAUCGACAUAAUUUUAUAAUAUAAUAUAUAUAUCCAACUCGAUCGGUAUAUAUAUAUAUAUAUAUAUAUAUAUGAAGUUUUUAUUUAUUUAUU
rnacentral:lncRNA from 1 species